rnacentral:rRNA from 1 species
AUUGAACGCUGGCGGCAUGCUUUACACAUGCAAGUCGAACGGGGUGAGGGGGCAACCUCUCAUUCAGUGGCGAACGGGUGAGUAAUGCAUCGGAACGUGUCCCGCAGUGGGGGAUAACUCGGCGAAAGCCGAGCUAAUACCGCAUACGCUCUGCGGAGGAAAGGGGGGGACCCGCAAGGGCCUCGUGCUAUGGGGGCGGCCGAUGUCCGAUUAGCUGGUUGGUGGGGUAAUGGCCUACCAAGGCGACGAUCGGUAGCUGGUCUGAGAGGAUGAUCAGCCACACUGGGACUGAGACACGGCCCAGACUCCUACGGGAGGCAGCAGUGGGGAAUUUUGGACAAUGGGGGCAACCCUGAUCCAGCCAUGCCGCGUGCGGGAAGAAGGCCUUCGGGUUGUAAACCGCUUUUAGCCGGGACGAAAGCUGUACGGAUAACACCCGUGCAGGUUGACGGUACCGGCGGAAUAAGCACCGGCUAACUACGUGCCAGCCGCCGCCGUAACAC